UGGGGAGUAGCCAAGCGGUAAGGCAACGGACUUUGACUCCGUCAUGCGUAGGUUCGAGUCCUACCUCCCCAGCCA
rnacentral:tRNA from 1 species